rnacentral:rRNA from 1 species
UACGGGGGGGGCAAGCGUUGUUCGGAAUUACUGGGCGUAAAGGGCUCGUAGGCGGCCAACUAAGUCAGACGUGAAAUCCCUCGGCUUAACCGGGGAACUGCGUCUGAUACUGGAUGGCUUGAGGUUGGGAGAGGGAUGCGGAAUUCCAGGUGUAGCGGUGAAAUGCGUAGAUAUCUGGAGGAACACCGAUGGCGAAGGCAGCUCGCUGGGACGGUACUGACGCUGAGGCGCGAAAGCGUGGGGAGCAAACAGG